CGGAUUCUCUCCAUCACCCCUUGUCUCCUUCUCUCUCCUUCCCCAAAACUAGCCACUUGAUCAAAGAUCAAGGGUUGGCGCAGCGUAGCUUGCAUACGCGCGCACACGGGAACACACUCUCAUUUCUCCCCUUUCUUUCUCUCUCUUCUCUUUCUCACUCUCACGAUCUCUCUUCUCCCCUCUCUCAAACUUCAUCCUCUUCCUCAAGAACAUUCAUCAAUGUUCUUCAUCCAAACCCUGUUUCCGGCGACCAACCACCUUUACACCUAGACUCCGGUGGCUUCAGCGCCAUGACGACCGUCGCGAAGGAAAACCCAAAAUAAUUCCAAAUUAUUUGUAAAACCCUUAUUUAACCUCCCUAAACACAAAUAAAAUCCUAAAACUACGAAAAACAAUAAAAAAAAGAGAGAGACACAGAGGCUGGCAAAGCAGCGGCAAGUGACAACAGGUGACGCGGUGGUGAUAAAUUUCAGGUUGAAGUUGUCAUCAUAGUUGUGGCUUUGUGAGGGAUAUAGAUGAAUGAUAAGUGGUUGAUUUAGGAGUAUAUAUUGUAUCAUAUUGUUCGGAAGUGUAGUCAAUGGUUGUAUCAUAUUGGUUUGGUUUUUGGCAAAUCUAAGGUAAAAGUUUCAAGUUUUGUUCUCAAAUUACUUUUGUUACUAAACCAAUAAACCAGAAAAAUCAAGAAAAUUUGUUUAUGA